GAUGAACGCUAGCGGCAGGCUUAACACAUGCAAGUCGAGGGGUAGAAGUUGCUUGCAACUUUGAGACCGGCGCACGGGUGCGUAACGCGUAUGCAAUCUACCUUAUACAGAGGGAUAGCCCAGAGAAAUUUGGAUUAAUACCUCAUAUUAUACUUGACUGGCAUCAUUUAAUUUUUAAAGUUCCAACGGUAGAAUAUGAGCAUGCCUACUAUUAUCUAGAUGGUAAGGUAACGGCUAACCAUGGAAACGAUAGGUAGGGGUCCCGAGAGAGAGAUACCCCACACUGGUACUGAGACACGGACCACACUCCUACGGGAGGCAGCAGUGAGGAAUAUUGGACAAUGGGCGCAAGCCUGAUCAGGCCAUGCCGCGGGCAGGAAAAAGCAUCUAUGGUGUGUAAACUGCUUUUGUACGGGAAGAAACACUCCUUCGUGAAGGAGCUUGACGGUACCGUAAGAAUAAGGAUCGGCUAACUCCGUGCCAGCAGCCGCCGUAACAC
rnacentral:rRNA from 1 species